AAUACCCGUGGCGAAGGCGGCCCUGGACAAGACUGACGCUCAGGUGCGAAGCGUGGGGAGCAAACAGGAUUAGAUACCUGGUAGUCCACGCUGUAAACGAUGUCGACUUGGAGGUUGUGCCCUUGAGGCGUGGCUUCCGGAGCUAACGCGUUAAGUCGACCGCUGGGGAGUACGGCCGCAAGGUUAAAACUCAAAUGAAUUGACGGGGGCCCGCACAAGCGGUGGAGCAUGUGGUUUAAUUCGAUGCAACGCGAAGAACCUUACCUACUCUUGACAUCCAGAGAACUUUCCAGAGAUGGAUUGGUGCCUUCGGGAACUCUGAGACAGGUGCUGCAUGGCUGUCGUCAGCUCGUGUUGUGAAAUGUUGGGUUAAGUCCCGCAACGAGCGCAACCCUUAUCCUUUGUUGCCAGCGCGUGAUGGCGGGAACUCAAAGGAGACUGCCGGUGAUAAACCGGAGGAAGGUGGGGAUGACGUCAAGUCAUCAUGGCCCUUACGAGUAGGGCUACACACGUGCUACAAUGGCGUAUACAAAGGGAAGCGACCCUGCGAAGGCAAGCGGAACUCAUAAAGUACGUCGUAGUCCGGAUUGGAGUCUGCAACUCGACUCCAUGAAGUCGGAAUCGCUAGUAAUCGUAGAUCAGAAUGCUACGGUGAAUACGUUCCCGGGCCUUGUACACACCGCCCGUCACACCAUGGGAGUGGGUUGCAAAAGAAGUAGGUAGCUUAACCUCCGGGAGGGCGCUUACCACUUUGUGAUUCAUGACUGGGGUGAAGUCGUAACAAGGUAACCA
rnacentral:rRNA from 1 species